rnacentral:tRNA from 1 species
AGGCCCUUGGUGUAGCGGUCCAUCAUAUGGGGUUCUGGAUCCCAUGACCCUGGUUCGAAUCCGGGAGGGCCUA